UGCUCCAUUUCCUUUAGAGAAUGUGGUAGCAGUAUGUGAUAAGUCUGAAAGAAGACAAAAUUAUUACCAUGAUGGUAUCAAUGAAUGUGGACGUGGGAAUAGACGGAAUUAUAAUCGUCAUUACGAUCCAUUCCCUGAAGUGAAUGUGAUAAUUGUAAUAAAUCCUGUAAGUAUGAACACGCUCUUGAUGUAAUCUUAUGUCUGACAUUAUGAAAACAAAGUUCGUUGCCCUUGAAAUUUCGUGCAAGAACUAUAU
rnacentral:lncRNA from 1 species